rnacentral:rRNA from 1 species
AGUGAACGCUGGCGGUAGGCCUAUCACAUGCAAGUCGAACGGCAGCACAGUAAGAGCUUGCUCUUACGGGUGGCGAGUGGCGGACGGGUGAGGAAUACAUCGGAAUCUACUUUUUCGUGGGGGAUAACGUAGGGAAACUUACGCUAAUACCGCAUACGACCUACGGGUGAAAGCAGGGGAUCUUCGGACCUUGCGCGAUUGAAUGAGCCGAUGUCGGAUUAGCUAGUUGGCGGGGUAAAGGCCCACCAAGGCGACGAUCCGUAGCUGGUCUGAGAGGAUGAUCGGCCACACUGGAACUGAGACACGGUCCAGACUCCUACGGGAGGCAGCAGUGGGGAAUAUUGGACAAUGGGCGCAAGCCUGAUCCAGCCAUACCGCGUGGGUGAAGAAGGCCUUCGGGUUGUAAAGCCCUUUUGUUGGGAAAGAAAAGCAGCAGGUUAAUACCCCGCUGUUCUGACGGUACCCAAAGAAUAAGCACCGGCUAACUUCGUG